UUAGAACGUCGUGAGACAGUUCGGUCCCUAUCUGCCGUGGGCGCUGGAGAAUUGAGGGGGGCUGCUCCUAGUACGAGAGGACCGGAGUGGACGCAUCACUGGUGUUCGGGUUGUCAUGCCAAUGGCACUGCCCGGUAGCUAAAUGCGGAAGAGAUAAGUGCUGAAAGCAUCUAAGCACGAAACUUGCCCCGAGAUGAGUUCUCCCUGAGACUAUAAGUCUCCUGAAGGAACGUUGAAGACGACGACGUUGAUAGGCCGGGUGUGUAAGCGCAGCGAUGCGUUGAGCUAACCGGUACUAAUGAACCGUGAGGCUUAACCUUACAACGCCGAAG
rnacentral:rRNA from 1 species